rnacentral:rRNA from 1 species
UACCCUUGACAUGGUCGGAAUCCUGAAGAGAUUUGGGAGUGCUCGAAAGAGAACCGGCGCACAGGUGCUGCAUGGCUGUCGUCAGCUCGUGUCGUGAGAUGUUGGGUUAAGUCCCGCAACGAGCGCAACCCUUGUCAUUAGUUGCUACGAAAGGGCACUCUAAUGAGACUGCCGGUGACAAACCGGAGGAAGGUGGGGAUGACGUCAAGUCCUCAUGGCCCUUAUGGGUAGGGCUUCACACGUCAUACAAUGGUACAUACAGAGGGCCGCCAACCCGCGAGGGGGAGCUAAUCCCAGAAAGUGUAUCGUAGUCCGGAUUGUAGUCUGCAACUCGACUACAUGAAGUUGGAAUCGCUAGUAAUCGCGGAUCAGCAUGUCGCGGUGAAUACGUUCCCGGGUCUU